AAAGACUGUGACGAACCAAUUCUAAACCCGAUUGUGAUGGCGCCUCUUGUGAAGACAAGGUUAGCAAAUAGAACAUCAUUUCCUCUUCUAAAAGUUACUUAGCAUGAAUAAGUCUGAAUCAUAGAUAAUAAAAUCAUAUUGCGGAAUAAAUGUAAUAAAACAGGGAACCCAACCCGACUCAACCCGAAAUAGAGGUGUCACAAGUCAUGAGCAUCUAGAAGGUUUUUUUUAUACAACUACAAAGCUUGUAAUACAUAGAAUAAAUUCAGGAAUCAAAAAGGAAGAAGAUCCGGUGUCGCGAACGCUGGCGGUCACUU
rnacentral:lncRNA from 1 species